GAGGGCUGUGGGCUUGCAGGCGGCGGGCAGGCGCGGGAGCGCUUGGAGCCUGCUCCAGCUCUCAUCCCGAGGCCGGCGGGCGAGCGAAUUAACAGAAUUCCCGAUCCCCCAACUCUGCGCGGAUGUUUGUGACUCACCCACCCUCGCACACAGAUACACAUACUCCGUUCCUGGCUGCUGCGCCGCAACUACAGCUCGGUGCCUGCGGAGGCUGCUCAGGGACCCAAGCACUGGAGCCGCUGGACUCAGUGCUCCGCCUCAGCGCUUGGCCUGGGUGCUCAGCUGCCUGGACGCGACCGUAGCUGCCCGACCCUGCCCCCACCACCCCCAAUUCUCACUUUUCUGAGCACGAGAAGAGCGGUUGCCCCGCCGACCCCUUUUGUGCCACUGGACGAGGGUUAAAAUCCCUGUUACGGAGAAAGCCGAGUUUCAGUAAUUGCUCAGCUCCCCUCACAAUCACACUAUUUGGUUAAGGCUUUGCUGUUCUAGAGCGACUGCUUAGUUGGCCCGAUUGGUCUAUUAUUAGACUUUUUAAUUUAGAAAUUAAAAAUAAAUUCUACUCCAAAU